CCGUGGAUUGGACUGUUUUCGACGUGACAUGAUGAUGGAGCACCUGUAGAGUAAAUGAAAUGAUGAGCAUGCGUAAUAGAGGAUGUUGGCGAACCAGUAAAUAUUUCACUGCAAUCGUGACAUGCUGCUGAUGCGAAUGCAAGCCCACAGACACACAGUUCCAUUUCAUUAACGAUCAUACUUGUGCCACUAACCUUCAAAUAAAUUUACCAGAAUGCCAUUUCUUUUAUCAGUCAAACCUGCCCCAAAAUGUGUCUGCUUCAUCAUUUUUUUUUUUAACCAAUCAAUGAUUUAGACCAGUUCUAUUAAUGAGCGCUAAUGAGCUACUAGUUGCUAACAGUAGAGAAUAUUAGCAACAAGCAUUGUUUAUAGGAGUUAUCAGCCAUGCAGCUCAGCUGGUUGGUACCAAGUCAUGACACCAUCAGUCGAAGAGUUUCUGACAAUCCUUGUGGACGCAGUCACCACAGCAAAUACAGCAGUAAUUGAUAACAGAAAGUCUAUGAAAUAUCAGGCAUGGCAACGACGGGUAGCAAACCCGCUAACAAAUGCAACAGACUAGUUAUGGAAUCAUCAACAGAUACAACUUUUGCCAAACAACCCAGAUAAUACCAAAUUGAACUACAGUAAUCCCUCAACUAUUGUGGGUUUUACAUUCCAAACCCCACCGCGAUAGGUGAAAAUCUGCAAAGUAGAAUCAGUAUUGUACUGUAUAUAUUAUUUUUUUAUCACUUUUAUAAUUUAUAUAUAUUUAUUUUAUUAUAAAUGCAAAAAACACCACAGAGGAAUUGAUGUAAGCUUAAAUAAUAAAUCGUGAUAGGUGAACCACAAUAUGGUAAGGGAUUACUGUAGCAGAGUUGCAGUGGUUAAGCUUAGACAAGAACUACCAUGAACUUACCAAAUUGCCUUUUACAAACAAGUCAGAUACUUACGGAGAACCAUAAUUUAUAACUCUAUAAACAAACCAGUUGUUGUCCAUAUUUCACUUCUCUUUCUUUUUCAAAACUGUUGAUGUUCAUUUAUGUCACCAAGUAAAAUAUAGACAAGUAACAACCGGUGGGUACGUUUAAAGGCUUUCAUAAUUUAAGAUUUUUGCAAAUCCAACAAUAUUAGCUUCAAGACCAUUUUAAAAUUACCAAGAGCCUAGACUUUUCGUAACCAACAUUUUCUGAAUAAAUUAUAAACACUAGUUGAACAAAAUGAUUUAUAUUGAAACGUCAUUAGAAAAUAAUAAAACCCUACAAACUUAUUUAAUUGUUUCUUACUUUGGCAUGGGGCCAGCAAUUUUGAGAGGAGGGGCAAGUCAAUUACACGAACCCCAAACUUGACUGAUACUUAUUUUAUGAACCUCGUAAGGAUAAAGAACAAAGUUGACCUCAGUGGAAUUUGAACUCAGAACAUGAAAAGCCAAAAGAAACGCUGCUAAGCACUUUAUCCAACAUGCUAACGGUACUACCAUCUCAAAGCCUUCAGGCUUGUUUAAAUAAUCCUUUCUACUAAAAGCACAAGGGAAGCAAUUUAGGGGAGAGGGGUAAGUCAAUUACAUCGACCCCAGUAUGCAACUGGUACUCAUCCACCCUGAAAGGAUGAAAAAUAAAGUUGGCCUCGGUGGAAUUUGAACUCAGAACUUAAAGAAAGGCAACAUGCCGAAAAGCAUUUCACCCACCGUGUCAACAAUUCUUCCAGCUUCUAUAUAUACCUUCUUACUCACAUUGUAUAGACAGCAAUAGGCAGAAUAAACUCUUCAAUAAAUUUGUUGAAUACUGUG